rnacentral:lncRNA from 1 species
ACCAAAGACUUGGAGGAAGAAACUGUUUUGACAACAACAAUGAACAACGAUGCUCUCACUCUAGGUAGGUAUGUGAUUCACGUUGGUGACCAAAUCAAUUUUCCAGCCAUGUUUUGUUUUUGUCUUUCAAUGGACCAGAUCUGGUGAACUGAAACCGAUGGACCAAACUUGUCCAUCAUACAAGUCUCUUGAAACCACAAGUGAAUUACCAGAGUAUGAAAC